rnacentral:misc_RNA from 1 species
CACGAUGGCAGCCGGACCUAAUAAAGAUUGAUAUGGAAUUGCUGCGAGACAUCCAUCUUAGCCGCGCCAAGCAAGCAAUCGUCGCGGCUAUAGUUGGUAUUGCCCGUACGCUCGAUAUUCAGGUGCUCGCCGAGGGCGUGGAGAACGAACAAGAGCUAGUGGUCUUAAGAGCUGCAGGCAUCUCAUUGUUUCAGGGAUAUCACUUUGCCAAGCCAGCUCUGAUGGCGCUGCCGGAUGUUCACGUGC